UACGUAGGUGGCAAGCGUUGUCCGGAAUUAUUGGGCGUAAAGCGCGCGCAGGCGGUCCCUUAAGUCUGAUGUGAAAGCCCACGGCUCAACCGUGGAGGGUCAUUGGAAACUGGGGGACUUGAGUGCAGAAGAGGAAAGUGGAAUUCCAUGUGUAGCGGUGAAAUGCGAAGAGAUGUGGAGGAACACCAGUGGCGAAGGCGACUUUCUGGUCUGUAACUGACGCUGAGGCGCGAAAGCGUGGGGAGCAAACAGG
rnacentral:rRNA from 1 species